rnacentral:rRNA from 1 species
UAGGGAAUAUUAGAAAUGGACGAAAGUCUGAUCUAGCAACACCGAGUGUGCGAAGACGGCCUUCGGGUCGUAAAGCACUUUUUGGAAGGAAUAGGAAGGAAUGUACUUCCAGAAUAAGUCUCGGCUAACUACGUGCCAGCAGCCGCGGUAACACGUAGGAGGCAAACGUUAUCCGGAUUUACUGGGCGUAAAGCGCGUGUAGGUGGUACUGUAAGUAGGGCGUGAAAGCUCCUGGCUCAACUGGGAGAGGCCGUUCUAAACUACAGAGCUAGAGGAUGGUAGAGGGAGGUUGAAUUCCAGGUGUAGCGGUGGAAUGCGCAGAUAUCUGGAGGAACACCAGUGGCGAACGCGGCCUCCUGGACCAUUCCUGACACUCAGACGCGAAAGCGAGGGUAGCAAACG